UUCAUGUAAAUUUACAAAAUAAAUAAAGUUGAAUCCUUAACAGCACUGAAUUCUAAUGACACAAAUAUUACUUGACGCGGAACGCGAUUAUUUGAUGUAAAUUUACAUCACACUUGAUGUAAAUAAAAAGAAGCAUACCAUACGACGGAAUUUUCAGUGCGAGUUGAAUAUUACACGUCUUAAUAUUUUACAUGUCUUUCAAAUUUUACACGUCUAUUGAAAUUUACCGACGUGCAACAUUCAACUCGAACUGAAAACUCCAUCAUACACAGCAAUUAAAUCAGAAUCCUUAACAGCGCUGAAAUUGAGUUGCUAUAAUAUUACAUGACAAGGAACGCGUUUUUUUAUGUAAAAUUUCACCCCUACGCAAACAUAAAUUCUAAAUAAAACUGAAUUUGGAAUAUAUAAAAAUUACAUGUCGGAGAACUCAAUUUUUAAUUGUAAGUUUCAAUCAUUUGAAUCCUAAGCAGCAUCGAAAAUUUUAUUGAGAUGUAGUUUUCCUCUAGUGAGUGAAACUUUAAAUUUGUUCAGUAUCAUUUUUUUUUCGUUUUGGGGGGCUUUUGGCACGUUCAGUAUCAUUCAUCCGAACAACUCGAAAAUAAAGAAUUCUGCCCUUUUUGUCAUAAAAUAAGUGUACAUAACAGUGUUAAGAAUAUAUUGUCCGUGAUUUAAGACUCUCAAGUAGACGUGAAAAUAGUAUCCCUCAAUUUCUGACAGCGAAAGCGCCGCGGAAGGAGCCGCCGUCGGAGCGCAAGAAAGGCAGAUGUAAACAAAACGGCAAACCACAACAAACACGCGUGUUUUGGAACCGGUAACGGCGAUCCCUCUUUUUCAACCUGUGCUGCGAAACUCUGCUUCGAUGAUUAGGAAAUUAAGGAUGGAGAACUUGACGGAGGGAGCAGAAUCCACCAGCAGGAAAAAGGCGGUUCGAAUCGAAUUUGUCGAUCAAAUGUUAUCGCUUCAUGUUGGCCCAUGGCAGGAUCGAACUCGUUGCUCGACGGUAUGGCUUUUUUCAAAUAAGGAACGUCUGUUUUCUUGACCGGUCGCAGUAACACGAUUAACAGCACACAAAUAGGAUUUUCCGGCGGACACCGUGCCUGGUGGUGAGUUCCACCGACAAUAAUAACUACGGUGGCCCUAUCGGUGGAAAUAAUUUUACUUAUCAACAGUCAGAACCCAGGCCGCAGUUACGAUAACAAUGAUGACGGCGACGACGAGUUAAAGGCGACCUUACGAUUCCUUUUGCUGGCGUAAAUUGAGGACAAGAUAACGGGAUAAAUAUUAUUAAUCAGGAAUCAUCACUGUGAAAGAGAUGGCACGUAAACGACAGCAAACAGUAAAGAGACCUAUGGAAAGCAUUUUGUGAUCCGAUUGCCGGGCCAUUUCGGUAUAAAAUGAUACGGGGAGGAGUUGUCGGUAUCGUUGGUGAUUCUCCUUCCAAAACUGGGGCCGGGGGCACGAAAGAGUUCUGCUGGUUUGAAAAGAACCUACGUUAUUGUAGGAUGAACUCUACAUGGACAAGCGAAAGUGCAUUGAUGUUGCCACCAUGGAAACCGGUUUAUAAAUUCCUCCCCGUGAACCUAGUUAUGAAAAUCUUUGAAAAAGUGUUUAUAAGAUGAGUGAUUCAAUUAUGUUUAGUUAUCCUAGAGGUUUGUGUUAUGUGUUGUUACACAAAUGUAAACAAAUGGCAAUAAAAAAUACAAAUCGGAAGAUAAAAUAAAAAUGCUGGUUUAAA